rnacentral:rRNA from 1 species
GCACGCAGGCGGUUGUGUCAGUUUGCGGGGACAGUGGGUGGCUUAACUGCCCAAGGGUCGCAAAGACGGCACGACUGGAGAGCGAGAGAGGGACCUGGAACUCCGGGUGGAGCGGUGAAAUGCGUAGAGAUCCGGAAGAACACCACUGGCGCAGGCAAGGUCCUGGCUCGUAUCUGACGCUGAGGUGCGAAAGCUAGGGGAGCGAACGGGAUUAGAUACCCCGGUAGUCCUAGCCGUAAACGAUGACCACUAGAUGUGGGAGGUAUCGACCCCUUCCGUGUCGCAGUUAACACGUUAAGUGGUCCGCCUGGGGAGUACGGUCGCAAGAUUAAAACUCAAAGGAAUUGACGGGGACCCGCACAAGCAGCGGAGCGUGUGGUUUAAUUCGAUGCGACGCGAAGAACCUUACCAGGGUUUGACAUGCCUGCGCACCACCCAGAGAGGGGUGUACCCGCAAGGGACGCAGGCACAGGUGCUGCAUGGCUGUCGUCAGCUCGUGCCGUGAGGUGUUGGGUUAAGUCCCGCAACGAGCGCGACCCCUGUCGUCGGUU